AUGAACGCUAGCGACAGGCUUAACACAUGCAAGUCGAGGGGCAGCGGGGGUAGCGAUACCCGCCGGCGACCGGCGCACGGGUGAGUAACGCGUAUGCAACUUGCCUAUCAGAGGGGGAUAACCCGGCGAAAGUCGGACUAAUACCGCAUGAAGCAGGGGCCCCGCAUGGGGGUAUUUGCUAAAGAUUCAUCGCUGAUAGAUAGGCAUGCGUUCCAUUAGGCAGUUGGCGGGGUAACGGCCCACCAAACCGACGAUGGAUAGGGGUUCUGAGAGGAAGGUCCCCCACAUUGGUACUGAGACACGGACCAAACUCCUACGGGAGGCAGCAGUGAGGAAUAUUGGUCAAUGGCCGAGAGGCUGAACCAGCCAAGUCGCGUGAGGGAUGAAGGUUCUAUGGAUCGUAAACCUCUUUUAUAAGGGAAUAAAGUGCGGGACGUGUCCCGUUUUGUAUGUACCUUAUGAAUAAGGAUCGGCUAACUCCGUGCCAGCAGCCGCGGUAAUACGGAGGAUCCGAGCGUUAUCCGGAUUUAUUGGGUUUAAAGGGUGCGUAGGCGGCCUUUUAAGUCAGCGGUGAAAGUCUGUGGCUCAACCAUAGAAUUGCCGUUGAAACUGGGGGGCUUGAGUAUGUUUGAGGCAGGCGGAAUGCGUGGUGUAGCGGUGAAAUGCAUAGAUAUCACGCAGAACCCCGAUUGCGAAGGCAGCCUGCCAAGCCAUGACUGACGCUGAUGCACGAAAGCGUGGGGAUCAAACAGGAUUAGAUACCCUGGUAGUCCACGCAGUAAACGAUGAUCACUAGCUGUUUGCGAUACAUUGUAAGCGGCACAGCGAAAGCGUUAAGUGAUCCACCUGGGGAGUACGCCGGCAACGGUGAAACUCAAAGGAAUUGACGGGGGCCCGCACAAGCGGAGGAACAUGUGGUUUAAUUCGAUGAUACGCGAGGAACCUUACCCGGGUUUGAACGCAUUCGGACCGAGGUGGAAACACCUUUUCUAGCAAUAGCCGUUUGCGAGGUGCUGCAUGGUUGUCGUCAGCUCGUGCCGUGAGGUGUCGGCUUAAGUGCCAUAACGAGCGCAACCCUUGCCACUAGUUACUAACAGGUAAAGCUGAGGACUCUGGUGGGACUGCCAGCGUAAGCUGCGAGGAAGGCGGGGAUGACGUCAAAUCAGCACGGCCCUUACAUCCGGGGCGACACACGUGUUACAAUGGCGUGGACAAAGGGAAGCCACCUGGCGACAGGGAGCGAAUCCCCAAACCACGUCUCAGUUCGGAUCGGAGUCUGCAACCCGACUCCGUGAAGCUGGAUUCGCUAGUAAUCGCGCAUCAGCCAUGGCGCGGUGAAUACGUUCCCGGGCCUUGUACACACCGCCCGUCAAGCCAUGGGAGCCGGGGGUACCUGAAGUCCGUAACCGAAAGGAUCGGCCUAGGGUAAAACUGGUGACUGGGGCU
rnacentral:rRNA from 1 species